rnacentral:tRNA from 1 species
UUCCUGGCAGUCAAGUGAUUAAGACUCUGCACUUCCAAUGCAGGGAACAUGGGUUCAAUUCCUGGUCAGGGAA